rnacentral:lncRNA from 1 species
UAAAAAGCCAAAGCUGGGCCUGUGUACUCACAAGUGUGCAGCCAUGGGCAGGCUUACUUCUUCAUUCCUGCUACUGAUUGUUCCUGCAUAUGUCCUGUCCCAGGUUACUCUGAAAGAGUCUGGCCCUGGGAUAUUGCAGCCCUCCCAGACCCUCAGUCUGACUUGUUCUUUCUCUGGGUUUUCACUGAGCACUUUUGGUAUGGGUGUAGGCUGGAUUCGUCAGCCUUCAGGGAAGGGUCUGGAGUGGCUGGCACACAUUUGGUGGGAUGAUGAUAAGUACUAUAACCCAGCCCUGAAGAGUCGGCUCACAAUCUCCAAG